UCAUCUUUCUUUUUCUGUUAAAAGUAAAACUAGUUUGUGUCCUCCCAAACAGAAAGGUCAAAAUGGGAACUGCUAGUAGUUGUGUCUUGUCUUGGAGCAGCUGUGGUUGUCAUCUUAGGGGUACUGGUACUUCCUGGAACCAAAAGAGGAAGAGAUGAUGGAAAGUAUUUGGCUGGCUUUGAUGAAACCUACAGUAUUGUCACCUAUGAGUUCACAAAUGAGUGACAACAGCUGCAUCAGCCCUGAGAGAUAAAGCGUACAGCUUUGCAGUGUUAAAGUUCAGAUGUUGUUUUUCUGGCAUCUCCUCUGAUUUCUCAUGUACUAUGUAGCUGAGUUUAUACUUUUACUGUGUUACAGUGAA